rnacentral:misc_RNA from 1 species
UUAAGUUCAGCGGGUAUUCCUACCUGAUCCGAGGUCAACCUUAAAAAAUUGGGGGUUUAAUGGCAAGGGUCACGAGGGCCGUCCAAAGCGAGAAAAUAUUACUACGCUCAGAGGCCUCUGCGCUCCGCCACUGGUUUUAAGGAACUACAGACGUAGACUCCCAACACUAAGCCAGGCUUAAGUGGUCAAAAUGACGCUCG